UAUCUAGGAGAAUUGGACCUUCCCUCAGGGAUGGCAGAGCUGAAAAAAGUAAGGAUCCAACAAGAGAGGGGCAGUAAAGUCAGCCCUGGGUCAAGUACAGUAAAGAAGAAUUAUCUAUGGCCCGUGCUCCACAGGAGUGAAGGGCUUAAAAUCGGGUUCUCCAUAGCCAAAAUCGUGGGAUUUCAUAUUAAAUAAAUCAAUAUAUAUCCAUUUUCCUGCAAGUUAUGAGGGAAAAAUCGGAUCUUGUGAAUUUUCCAAAAGUCCCCUCCCAUCAGAAACACUGUCGUAGACACCCAGUGAAGUUUCGGAAAAGGCACACCAUUUGACCGAAUUGUUUUGAGCAUGAAAUCUUUUCAGGCGAACGUAAAGAAUACGUACACUCGGUGUUUAGGGUUUGUGUUAUGUCGAAAACGGGUGGUACGUAUUCUUGACCUCCGCCAAAUAUUCUCUACUCUAGACACAAGGCCCGAAACUUUUGGGGAGGAGGUCAGUCUAUUAGAUCGACCUCAGUACGCAACUUGGUACUUAAUUCAUCGACCCCGAAACAAUGAAAAGCAAAGUCGACCUCGGCAGAAUUUGAACUCGGAAUGUAAAAAUAGACGAAAUACUGCUAAGCAUUUCGCCCAGCGAAAAAUAUGAGCUGCAGUAGUAACUUACGCUGUAAAAGUAAAUAUUAAUGAAUAAGGUAAUGAUUUCUAAAUAUAGGCGAAUCUGUAAUUUUCAGAAAUUUUUGCCAAUGUAGUGUACACACGGGAAUUCAUACAACUGCGCAAAAACCCAAACAAAAAUAUUUUUGCGAGAUUUUAUUCCACGGCUUCUCAGAAGCUGAUUUAAAUGAAAGUUGUGUGUGAACUUGGUGGAAAGAGUUUAUUGGAAUAAUUAUACGACGUUUUGUCCCGUAACACCCCAAUUGGAAAUGCAAUGAAUCUAAGAUACUUGUUUCCCUGUCAGGAAGAAAGAUAAGGGCUAAAGAAAUAAUACAGCCCUUAAAUCACGCCAAAACUUUUUGUGUUAUUGCGCAAUCGAAUGAAUUCCAUUCGCAAAAAUUUCUGAAAGCUGUAAAAGUUAUCACGAGUUGUAUUGGGUGCUUAAAGUAGAAUUUCGCCGAAUAUAUAUAUUUUUUGCUUUCUACCACAGGCACGAAGCCUUUUGUGGGGAAUAGGCUCGUGAAUUACUUCGACCCCACCCCCAGUGCUAAAGGAUGACCUCGGCGGAAUUUAAACUCGGUCCGACGUACUGACGGUUCUUUGCUGCAGCUAAUUAUUAUUAUAACCAGGCGGGAAGAGAAUAGUUAAAGAACCAAUUUUUCAUAAAGUAGUAAGAAUGUUAUAAAACACUGGAUAUUUUCUUGUCACUUAAUUAAAAGAAAAAAAAAACGCAUAUUGGGGAGGCAAAAAUGUAUUUAAAUUUGAGUUUGGCGCCUUGCGAUUUCAUUGGCAGAAAAUGUCAAGUGACAACUAUGCUAACUUAGUACUUGUUGACUGCAGAUGCCUAAUUAUUGGAAG